AAACUUUCCUCUCAAAAUGUGGAAGCUUUUCUUUAGCUUCUACCUCACCGCCUCGCUAUCUGGUGCUCAGUCUGCACGUGGCUCUGGUUGCUACAGUGUGUUUUUUAGCGUGUUUUUGGCAUGCAAAGCAGUGAUAAUGGAAGGAAAUGGCCAGUAACUCAGCCUUAUAUAGCUCCCAUCAUCAUCAACUGUUUUGAUGUGGUGAAAAAUGUGUUGCGUGGUCAAUGCUUAAGUUGCUUCUUUUUGUUUGAGUUUUACUGAAUCUUUUCUGUUGCCAGAGAUCAUUGCAGACUGGAUUAAACUGUUCCUCACUGGUUCUGACGACAGUAUAUAAAGAUGGACAUAGCCACCAUGAAGUUAGCCAUUGGUUUGUGUGGAAUCCAUAGAUACUGGAUAAUUAAUGCUAAAUAGCAAAUUAAAGUAGUACAAUUUCACUUAAAAAACAAGUCAUAAUAUGUAUAAGAUAAUUUUAUUACAUGAAAACUGUCAAUUUGGUUCACUCAUUGGAUUUGAAUUUGUUGGCUGUAACGUCUUUGUAGAGAUUCUUCUGCCAAUCAAAGUAGGGACGCCUCUAAUACUGACAACUUAAGUAUAACUAAGUUCACCCCACUACAGUUUUUAUAAAGGUUUAAAUUAGCCACAGAGACCAAACCCAUGUUGUGGACCAGGGCGUAAACAUGUUUGUUUCUGCUGUACACUCAGACAUUUUAACAUGGGAGACUCACUGUUGUAGGCCGCCUCAAGUGGCCAGGUGAGGAACUGCAGUUUAAAAACAAUGGAAACUAUUUUAGUUUUUGAAGCAGUUUAAAGAAAUAUUUGUAUCCGCCUCAGCCCCUGAUGCGGUUUGUAGUUUCAGAGCAGUGAAAUGCUGGUGCUGGUCUAGGAUCAGUUAUUCUGUCCAAAGAAGAGAAACUGGCUUCUGUGUAAAAACUCCUCUAGUUCUGAUUUUUGCCUUACAGCUUCUGAACUCUUCUUUGUGCCAAUUCAGAUGGGUGUCAGUAUUUAGCCUUUCAGUCUGCAGCUUUAUAUUUAUUUGUUAUUUUAUUCCAAAGGUGUUAUUACUGCUUUUAUUGCUCUUUUUAUUAUUAUUAUUUUAAUUUUUUUGUUUUCUUUGGGGCAGUUCUGAUGUGAUCACAGGGGCGUUUGUGCUGUGGACUGUUAAUGGCUGACGUUCCCACACCUCUGGUGUAACAGCAGCACCGUUGUGUAUUCUUCUCCUUCAUGUUGUACUUAGAAGUAUAUUGUUAUUAUUGAUUGAGUAUUGAUUGAUUGCAGGUUAUUGGUUAGUGGCCGGCCACUGCCUUCCAUGCUGUCGAUGUCUGUUUCCCAUCAUGCCCCCUCUGUAAGAAGAUAAAAU
ensembl:lncRNA